rnacentral:rRNA from 1 species
AGAUUGAACGCUGGCGGCAUGCCUUACACAUGCAAGUCGAACGGCAGCACGGGAGCAAUCCUGGUGGCGAGUGGCGAACGGGUGAGUAAUAUAUCGGAACGUGCCCAGUAAUGGGGGAUAGCCCGGCGAAAGCCGGAUUAAUACCGCAUACGACCUACGGGUGAAAGCGGGGGGAUCGACAACGACCUCGUCGUUAGUUGGA